rnacentral:rRNA from 1 species
AGAGUUUGAUCCUGGCUCAGAGUGAACGCUGGCGGCGUGCUUAACACAUGCAAGUCGAACGGUAACAGGAGAAAGCUUGCUUUCUUGCUGACGAGUGGCGCACGGGUGAGUAAUGUAUAGCUAACGUACCCUACAGAGGGGGAUAGCCACUGGAAACGGUGAUUAAUACCCCAUACUCCUUCUUAAUAUAAGUUAAGUUGGGAAAUGGCGCUUUUGCGUCCGCUGUAGGAUCGGGCUAUAUCGCAUCAGCUAGUUGGUGGGGUAACGGCCUACCAAGGCAAUGACGCGUAGCUGGUUUGAGAGGAUGAUCAGCCACACUGGUACUGAGACACGGACCAGACUCCUACGGGAGGCAGCAGUGAGGAAUAUUGCACAAUGGAGGAAACUCUGAUGCAGCAACGCCGCGUGGAGGAUGACGCAUUUCGGUGUGUAAACUCCUUUUAUCAGGGAAGAAGAUGACGGUACCUGAUGAAUAAGCUCCGGCUAACUCCGUGCCAGCAGCCGCGGUAAUACGGGGGGAGCAAGCGUUACUCGGAAUCACUGGGCGUAAAGGACGCGUAGGCGGUUUUAUAAGUCAGGUGUGAAAUCCUAUGGCUCAACCAUAGAACUGCACUUGAAACUGUAAGACUAGAGUAUGGAAGGGGCAGAUGGAAUUAGUGGUGUAGGGGUAAAAUCCGUAGAAAUCACUAGGAAUACC